AAUGGGGGCAACCCUGAUCCAGCCAUGCCGCGUGAGUGAAGAAGGCCUUCGGGUUGUAAAGCUCUUUCGGCCGGGAAGAAAUCGCGCUCUCUAACAUAGGGUGUGGAUGACUGUACCGGCAUAAGAAGCACCGGCUAACUACGUGCCAGCAGCCGCGGUAAUACGUAGGGUGCGAGCGUUAAUCGGAAUUACUGGGCGUAAAGCGUGCGCAGGCGGUUUUGUAAGACAGGCGUGAAAUCCCCGGGCUUAACCUGGGAACUGCGCUUGUGACUGCAAGGCUGGAGUACGGCAGAGGGGGGUAGAAUUCCACGUGUAGCAGUGAAAUGCGUAGAGAUGUGGAGGAAUACCGAUGGCGAAGGCAGCCCCCUGGGCCGAUACUGACGCUCAUGCACGAAAGCGUGGGGAGCAAA
rnacentral:rRNA from 1 species